rnacentral:other from 1 species
UAGUCCCUGCCUGUUCCGUUAACAGGUGAGAGUGCCACAGCCAACAUUUUUGAAAGGGGAGCUUAUAUUUCUUUCUGCUGAGGUAGAAAGAUGCGGCGCCCACCUUGAAAAAAGCAGACUGUAGGCAACGACCUGUGACGGACUGAUGGCGGGGACUUU